rnacentral:lncRNA from 1 species
CUGUUAACUUGUGUUUCGAUCUUGAGAUUGGGUAAUACAUUUGGCACUGGAGCAGCUUGUUCAGGUAUCAGCCUGGAAUCCUGUCUUACAUCAAAAAGAUUUAAAAAUCCCCCUGUAAUCACUGGUUCCGGUUUUGGUUCAGGUUUCUUUUCAAAUAUGUUUGGUAAGAGAUGAAACUCAUUUUGAUUUGGGUCUUUCUUUUCGAAUAUAUUUG